CGUAAUGAAGCCUUGGGGGAAAAAGUCUAACUGGCGGAACUCCUGGGAACUGGGGCGAUGAGCUCUUAGUAUCGGAGGAUUGGAACCAUCUGAUUUUUACCUGAAAUUCCGUAGUCUCUCCUGUGUUGGGGAAAUGGUCACCUUGCCUUCAGGGACCUGGGCUUUCAGCUGUCCCUACCUGGCCCUGGUUGAUGGCGGCAUGCUGGGCAGUGCACGUGAAGACGCACAUGCACUGCUGGGUUAGGAACUCCCAGACUGAGCUGGUCUCAGCAAGUGGCGUCCAUUCGUGGGGGCUCAAAUCCAGGUCGAAGGGUCACCGGAGCAACAGUUGGAAUGGAAAACUAGCUGGAGGACACAGGAGUACUCUUAAAGCAAUCCCUGUGGCCAAAAUCAACAGCUGAUUUGGAUACCAUCAAGACACCUGAAACCUUAUCAUGAGCCAGAUUCCAAGAGGAUCACGAGGACCCCCCAGUUGCAGCCAUGUCAAGACUGAUGCUGAGGAGGACCCCAACUGUCACGAGCAACACCCGUCAAACAGCCACCCACCUGGGGACAGAUCAAGAAGCUGUCACAG
rnacentral:antisense_RNA from 1 species